rnacentral:rRNA from 1 species
AUUGAACGCUGGCGGCAUGCCUAACACAUGCAAGUCGAACGAGUGGCGGACGUGUGAGUUAUGUCUGGGACACUGCCUGAUGGAGGGGGAUAACUUCUGGAAACUGUUGCUAAUACCGCAUACCAUCAUUUGUGCCCAGAUGGGAGUAGCUUGUUGCUGGGGUAACGGCUCACCAAGGCGACGAUCCCUAGCUGGUCUGAGAGGAUGACCAGCCACACUGAAACUGAGACACGGUCCAGACUCGUACGAGAGGCAGCAGUGAGGAAUAUUGCACAAUGGGCGCAAGCCUGAUGCAGCCAUGCCGCGUGUAUGAAGAAGGCCUUCGGGUUGUAAAGUACUUUCAGCGGGGAGGCGUUACCCGCAGAAGAAGCACAGGCUAACUCCGUGCCAGCAGCCGCGGUAAUAC